rnacentral:rRNA from 1 species
GACGAACGCUGGCGGCGUGCCUAAUACAUGCAAGUCGAGCGCAGGAAACUGACGGAACUCUUCGGAGGGAAGGCAGUGGAAUGAGCGGCGGACGGGUGAGUAACACGUAAGGAACCUGCCUCAAGGAUUGGGAUAACUCCGAGAAAUCGGAGCUAAUACCGGAUAGUUCAUCGGACCGCAUGGUCCGUUGAUGAAAGGCGCUUCGGCGUCACCUUGAGAUGGCCUUGCGGUGCAUUAGCUAGUUGGUGGGGUAACGGCCCACCAAGGCGACGAUGCAUAGCCGACCUGAGAGGGUGAUCGGCCACACUGGGACUGAGACACGGCCCAGACUCCUACGGGAGGCAGCAGGAGGGAAUCUUCCACAAUGGACGAAAGUCUGAUGGAGCAACGCCGCGUGAGUGAUGAAGGUUUUCGGAUCGUAAAACUCUGUUGUAAGGGAAGAACACGUACGAGAGGGAAUGCUCGUACCUUGACGGUACCUUACGAGAAAGCCACGGCUAACUACGUGCCAGCCGCCGCCGUAAAAC